GGGGUUGUGGCUCAAGUGGUAGAGCACUCGCCUAGCAUGUGUGAGGCACUGGGUUUGAUCCUCAGCACCACA
rnacentral:tRNA from 1 species